CGUCAUGAAAGCCGGUAACACCUGAAGUCGAUGGGCUAACCUUUAGUUUACUAGAGGGGGCAGUCGCCGAGGGUGGGACUGGUAAUUGGGACGAAGUCGUAACAAGGUAGCCGUAGCGGAAGCUGCGGCUGGAUCACCUCCUUUCUAGGGAG
rnacentral:rRNA from 1 species